GGCCUUGUAGCUCAGCCGGUAGAGCGUGCGCUGUACAAAGCAUAAGAGGCGUCCCUGCGUGGGUUCGAAUACCAUCUAGGCUA
rnacentral:tRNA from 1 species